GGCCUAAUGGUCUAGUAGUAUGAUUCUCGCUUUGGGCAAACCACCGAUCCAAUGUUGGCCUACGUGCGAGAGGUCCUGGGUUCAAUUCCCAGUUGGGCCC